UACGUAGGGGGCAAGCGUUGUCCGGAAUCAUUGGGCGUAAAGAGCGUGUAGGCGGCUUCGUCAGUCCGUUGUGAAAGUCCAGGGCUCAACCCUGGAAUGCCGAUGGAUACUGCGGAGCUAGAGUACGGAAGAGGCGAGUGGAAUUCCUGGUGUAGCGGUGAAAUGCGCAGAUAUCAGGAGGAACACCUAUGGCGAAGGCAGCUCGCUGGGCAUUGUCUGACGCUGAGGCGCGAAAGCGUGGGGAGCGAACAGG
rnacentral:rRNA from 1 species